CUCUGCACCUGCUCCUGGUCCUGGUCCUGCUCCUGGUCCUGGUCCUGGUCCUGGUCCUGGGCCUGUGCUGGUC
rnacentral:miRNA from 1 species